AACGAACGCUGGCGGCAUGCCUAACACAUGCAAGUCGAACGAGACCUUCGGUUCUAGUGGCGCACGGGUGCGUAACGCGUGGGAACCUGCCCUUAGGUUCGGAAUAACUCCCCGAAAGGGGUUCUAAUACCGGAUAAUGUCUUCGGACCAAAGAUUUAUCGCCUUUGGAUGGGCCCGCGUUGGAUUAGCUAGUUGGUAGGGUAAAAGCCUACCAAGGCGACGAUCCAUAGCUGGUCUGAGAGGAUGAUCAGCCACACUGGGACUGAGACACGGCCCAGACUCCUACGGGAGGCAGCAGUGGGGAAUAUUGGACAAUGGGCGAAAGCCUGAUCCAGCAAUGCCGCGUGAGUGAUGAAGGCCUUAGGGUUGUAAAGCUCUUUUACCCGGGAUGAUAAUGACAGUACCGGGAGAAUAAGCUCCGGCUAACUCCGUG
rnacentral:rRNA from 1 species